AGCGAACGCUGGCGGCAGGCCUAACACAUGCAAGUCGAACGAAGUCUUCGGACUUAGUGGCGGACGGGUGAGUAACACGUGGGAACGUACCUUUUGGUUCGGAACAACUCAGGGAAACUUGAGCUAAUACCGGAUGAGCCCUUAGGGGGAAAGAUUUAUCGCCGAAAGAGCGGCCCGCGUUAGAUUAGCUAGUUGGUGAGGUAAAGGCUCACCAAGGCUACGAUCUAUAGCUGGUCUGAGAGGAUGAUCAGCAACACUGGGACUGAGACACGGCCCAGACGCAUACGGGAGGCAGCGGUGGGGAAUCUUGCGCAAUGGGCGAAAGCCUGACGCAGCCAUGCCGCGUGAAUGAUGAAGGUCUUAGGAUUGUAAAAUUCUUUUACCAGGGACGAUAAUGACGGUACCUGGAGAAAAAGCCCCGGCUAACUUCGUGCCAGCAGCCGCCGUAAUAC
rnacentral:rRNA from 1 species